rnacentral:siRNA from 1 species
ACCGAUAGCACUCAUAUAAGGUAC